UUUUUUGAAUGAUGACAUCCAAAUGUGAUCACACCUCAGCUCAGUAGAUGGUGGUAAUGCACAAUGAUUGCAAACUACCAAUACAAUUCAUCGAAGAAGAAGAAGAAGAAGAAGAAGAAGAAGGGCGUAAACGUAAUGGAACAUGCGCCAAAGCUGGUUUGCCAACCGCCAUUAAACGUUUAAGAAAGAGAGAAGAAAACAAGAAGAAGACGAAGCAGAAUGUGUUGGUUUAUCUCCGAUCGUAACAGAAGAGAAUGAAACCAGAUGAAGCUCCUCAUGACUCUCAUACCUAUUUCUAACAAGCAAUCCAUCACAAAAUGGAAUAAUUGUUCAAAAUGGACCCUCUAGUCAUAUGGAAGAGAGUUUGAGAUCAGAUGAAACAACAGUUCCAGCACUUUCAUACACUUGCCUGAGUGUAAUUGUCAUAAAGACUUUUGGCCCUCUAGCAGUUGAUGCAUGAAACUGCAAAUGACUUGCAGAGUAACAUUGCUUUGGUAAUUAUGUGAGACCAGUUUAGCCAUCGUUACAGGUGAUUGUCUAAUCAGAGAAAAUGUUACUAACAACAUCAACAUCCACCCCUCCCUCACCCAAGAAAAAGGGUGAGACCAGAUGAGUCGCCAUCUCCUGCACUCUAACUGCUGUCUAUUAAAAAUUGAUCAGUCAGUGGAUGGACAGACUGCAUUCAUCAAUGGAGCAAAGUUUCAAGGGAGAGAAGGUGAGAUCAGAAGAUGCACCAUCUCCAGCACUCUCACACCUGUCUGUAAAAAGUGAUCAGUCAAUGGAUCGGCCAAUCACAUUCAACAAUGAAACCCCUAGUUACAUUAGUCAUAGACCAGAUGAGGCACCAUCUCCUGCAACCUCAUACUUCUCUUUAAAAAGCAACCAAUCAAUGGAUCGACCGAUUACAUUCAAAGACAGAACACAGCCUUACAGUGUUAAACGCCUAAAUUGGUACUCUGACAGUCUGAGACCAGAUGAAA